rnacentral:rRNA from 1 species
GACGAACGCUGGCGGCGUGCUUAACACAUGCAAGUCGAACGAUGAACCCGGAGCUUGCUCCGGUGGAUUAGUGGCGAACGGGUGAGUAACACGUGAGUAACCUGCCCUUGACUCUGGGAUAACUGCGGGAAACUGUAGCUAAUACCGGAUACUCCGGCUGGAUCGCAUGGUCCGGUCGGGAAAGGUCCGCCGGUGAGGGAUGGGCCCGCGGCCUAUCAGCUUGUUGGUGAGGUCACGGCUCACCAAGGCGACGACGGGUAGCUGGUCUGAGAGGACGACCAGCCACACUGGGACUGAGAUACGGCCCAGACUCCUACGGGAGGCAGCAGUGGGGAAUCUUGCGCAAUGGGCGAAAGCCUGACGCAGCGACGCCGCGUGGGGGACGAAGGCCCUCGGGUUGUAAACCCCUUUCGGCAGGGACGAAGCGAUCGUGACGGUACCUGCAGAAGAAGCCUCGGCUAACUACGUGCCAGCAGCCGCGGUAA